CUCGGGUACUGAUUAGGACGGAUAGCAGACGAACUGGGGGACUGAAAUGUCCACAUAAGUUAUAAUGAAUUAUUAAUGAAUGGAAAAAUAACAAGAUUUUUGAGAUGUUUUAAUUAUUAUACGUCAAUAUAAUACGUGUCGUUAUAGCCAUAGCGCUAGUCGUGGUUUCUAGGUGGCCAAGUUUUUGUAGGAUUUAUUAAUCUUUAUGUUAUUUUUCUGAAACCUGCACAUACAGUAGGUCAUUGUGACACUUUAUCUGUGUUUAAAAUGCAUUCUAGCUUUACUUUACAUAAAUAUUUACUUUAAAUUGGACAUAAAUAUGAGUAUAGAUGUUUCAGUCAGCUUUAACUUUUCCUUUAUUAAAUUUUUUUUAACGCUUUUGGUCUAAUAAAUAUCCACAUUUCUUACUGCAGUAUUAAACAUUUCAUAUGGAUCUACAGAGUAUUUUUAAAUCUCGACCGUUAUUUCUCCGCUGUUCGAUCACCAAAAAGACUCUUCAGAACUGUGAGUCGAUUCCCACUGUUCACCCAAAAGAAAGGAUUCAAAGAACCGAUCUCGGGGAGUCGACUCGUUCAUGAACGAAACGCCAUUAGCUAGCUGUUCCCUUGUCAGAAAAAAACGCCGAACAUGACUUGAUAAAUUGCUGUGGGAAGUUUGGUUCUCCCCAAACGGAGUUAAAAUAAGAGCCAGCAUCUCUUCUGUACUCCAGUGCGUCUUGGACAGCUGGGACGCCAUUUUGUGAAUGGAGCGUGAUCACAUACAGACUGACCUCUCUAAUCUGGCCAUGUGGAUCGAGCAGGUGUCCUGCCAGCUCUCAGAGUGGAAAUAUUUUUUCCCGUUGUGUCGUGUUCACACGCUCGGCGUUGAACAAACUGCUAACGUUCCCGAGCCCGGGUGUGAUUGGGCCACAGAAACGCCGUAUUCAACGCUGCAUCUUAACCAGAGGUCAGAGGGUCACUCAAACGUUGUCAUGGCUUCUGGAUGAAUCUUAAGACGGAGAUGUGGACCCGGGAUAAACGCGAAUCACGUCUUUAUUAGGACAAAACGUGACGAACUGAAGCCGAGCAGCGGGAUCUCGCUCACGCCGAAGUACAAACAUCGUUAUCAGUUAUGAGCUGCUUGUGAACAAGACACCGUGUUCUGGUGUGGAGGAAAACAAGAGAGGAAACACACACACGCACACACACACACGCACACUGUAGCAGACUACAGUCUACCAUAUACUCACUUCAGCAAGCUCAGAUCAACCUUCUGUGUUCGAUCAACCUCCAUUAAUGACCUGCAGGUAAAUUCAUCUCUAAAUAAGUUUCUUCAAUCGGCGAUAUUUUAAUUCUCUGUGAGAACGUGAGACGAGAGGUCAUGUGCACGAGGUCCUCUCGGGCUUCCCUCAGCCUCUGUCUCGUUCCCUGAUAUACAUGAUAAAGUAUGAAUAGUAUACAAGCAGUGGAAGCUCAGAGGUUAGCCUUGAAAAAGUUCAGAGUUUAAAUCCAGGCUCUGCUGCUGCUUGGUCCUCACCGAGUGUCGCAACCUGCUCACGACCAUAAACGCUAGCCUGAACCAUUUACCCACAAUGCAGUUGGACUCGCUGCUUAAACAUAUUUAAUAUCACUGGAUAAAAGUGCAGAAGAGAAAAGAAAGGUGUUUUUCUUUACUUUCAGAAGCAGGUGUGUGUGUGUGUGUGUGUUUAAAUAUUGAGUUCUUAAGCUUUUAACAUACGCGGACCGGGCUACGCGAGGAAUACAAAAUAACACGUGCUUUUUAAUCUCGUGCCUGACAAAUGUUUCUUUAAACAAUUAGAUAAGGAAAAAAAAAAAAAAAAAAGCGUGACACAAUUCGACAUUAUCUUUUAAAAAUAAGCGCAAGAAUAUACAUCGCGACUGUUAAUCAAAUACUUCAAUGUUUUGAGAAAAGUAAAAAAAAAAAAAAAAAAAAACCCAAGUGAGGUAUUUGUUUAAAUAGCUUUUUUUUUUUUCCAUUUAGUACCGCCCUUCAGACGCUAAAUAAGAUAGUUACAUGUCUCCCAGAAGACAAAAUACUAACAAUUUACACAGAUCAUCCUGUUCAAAAGUUUACACGCCCCCCCCCCCCACCGGCUCUUGAUGUAUGGUGUCGCUUUCUUAGAUUUGUAUAAAUUCAGCUAUAAUCUCUUAUGUGAAUCUCUUAUAAUCUUGUGAAUCUUAUGUGAAUCUCUUACUGUGUAAAUCUCAGCUAUAAUCUCUUAUAGCGUAUUCAGGACAGAACUAAAUAAACAACAACAUGGGAUUUUUAUCACCCGUCUUAUUUUGUUAACAGUCGGUGCGUUUACACGGACGACGCUAAUCCGAUACGGACCCGAUUGAGACGAUACUCUGAUUAAGAAACCAGCAUGUAAACAGAGAUUACUGACGACCUUAAUCUGAUUAAAGUCACACUCGGAGUAAACACGGAUGGAAUUAAGACGUGUGGAGUAUUCCUGUGUUACUCGCGUUAUGGACGUGCGUUACAGACGUGUACACACCUUAAUCACACUAUCAACGCCGUGUGAGAGUUUUCACCGCAUUGUGCGACAGGACACGUACACACACGGCAGCGCUCGACCGUUUGACGCCAAACGAGAGAGCACGGCUGCGUCCCAAACCGCGUACUUACCUACUAUAUAGUAGGAGAAAUACACGUAUCUCGGCUACUAUACAGUAGGUAAGUACACGGUUUGGGACGCGGCCCACGUCUUCAAUCAGUCGUCUGUUUGCACGUACAGCACGACAAAUAAUUAACCGCACUCGAAGCGUUCGUAAAAGUAAAAAUGAAACAUCCAAAACUGUAUACGGUCCCAUAACGACGACCGACCGUACGUCGAUACGUGAAAUUCCGGAGGGACGUCGGACGGCGUGACGCGGGGACGUAACGACGUGUGACGUUAAUCCAUCUACGUUCUAUAACACGUAGCACAGGAGCAUGAAAGGAGUAUUCUAAAAGCGCCUCAUGUAAACACCUUCAUCAGAAUAUUAUACGUCUUAUUCAGAGUAAGGUUGAUAAUUACAUUCCUGCUGUCCGUGUAAACGUAGUCAGUGUUAAGAUUUAGCAGAUUCUGCAAGGGGUAUGCAAACUUUUGGGCACGACUGUGAGUCAAACUUGAGAAAAUGAGUCAGAAUUGAGAGGAGUUCGAAAUUUGAGAUAAUAGAUCAAGUUUGAGAUGAGUCAAACAUGAGAUAUUAAAUCAAUAUUCUGAGAUAAGUGUAUAUUAUUGAGAAACAUAUUGGUGCG